rnacentral:rRNA from 1 species
UGCAGUCGANCGGACCUUUUGAGAUUGAAGCCUCGGUGGAUUUCUCUCCUAGGUCAGUGGCGAACGGGUGAGUAACGUAUAAGUAACCUGCCCUUGAGUUCGGGAUAACUUUUCGAAAGGAAAGCUAAUACCGGGUACUCUCUUUUUUACACAAGUAUGAAAGAGGAAAGUUUUUUCGCUCAAGGAGGGGCUUAUAUCUGAUUAGCUUGUUGGUAGGGUAAUGGCCUACCAAGGCGAUGAUCAGUAGCUGGUCUGAGAGGACGAUCAGCCACACUGGGACUGAGAUACGGCCCAGACUCCUACGGGAGGCAGCAGUGGGGAAUAUUGCGCAAUGGGGGAAACCCUGACGCAGCGACGCAGCGUGAACGAUGAAGUCUUUCGGGAUGUAAAGUUCUGUCAAGAGGAAUGAUAAUGACAGUACCUCUAGAGGAAGCUCCGGCUAAUUACGUGCCAGCAGCCGCGGUAAUACGUAAGGAGCGAGCGUUAUCCGGAUUUAUUGGGCAUAAAGCGCAUGUAGGUGGUAAUUUAAGUUAGAUGUUAAAGCCUUCGGCUCAACCGAAGUUCGCAUCUAAUACUGGAUUACUAGAGAGCAGUAGAGGAAAGCGGAACUCACAGUGUAGCGGUGAAAUGCGUAGAUAUUGUGAGGAACACCAGUUGCGAANGCGGCUUUCUGGACUGUUUCUGACACUGANGUGCGAAAGCGUGGGGAGCGAACGGGAUUAGAUACCCCGGUAGUCCACGCCGUAAACGGUGUUCACUNNGUGUAGNANGNAUCGACCCCUUCUGUGNCACAGAUAAUUCGUUAAGUGAACCGNCUGGGGANUACGACCGCANGGUUAAAACUCAAAGG